rnacentral:rRNA from 1 species
AUUGAACGCUGGCGGCAUGCCUUACACAUGCAAGUCGAACGGUAACGCGGGGCAACCUGGCGACGAGUGGCGAACGGGUGAGUAAUGCAUCGGAACGUGCCCAGUUGUGGGGGAUAACUGCUCGAAAGAGCAGCUAAUACCGCAUACGACCUGAGGGUGAAAGCGGGGGAUCGCAAGACCUCGCGCAAUUGGAGCGGCCGAUGUCGGAUUAGCUAGUUGGUGGGGUAAAGGCCCACCAAGGCGACGAUCCGUAGCUGGUCUGAGAGGACGACCAGCCACACUGGGACUGAGACACGGCCCAGACUCCUACGGGAGGCAGCAGUGGGGAAUUUUGGACAAUGGACGCAAGUCUGAUCCGGCCAUGCCGCGUGCGGGAAGAAGGCCUUCGGGUUGUAAACCGCUUCUGUCAGGGAAGAAAUCUUCUGGGUUAAUACCUCGGGAGGAUGACGGUACCUGAAGAAUAAGCACCGGCUAACUACGUGCCAGCCGCCGCCGUAAUAC